CCAACUCGUUUUAAUUACGCGCACUUUUAUUCCCACGUUUCCGCCAGAGGUAUUUCCGACCAACUCGCGAAUAAACGUGCAAUUUCAACGAACGAAAGGAACACCGAUGAUGAAGCAACCGCCAGGAUCCCCAACUAGUUUUAGGCAAAAUGGACAAUUACUCGCGUUCUUUUGCUAUUAUAGUGAACCUUUUGUUAGGCGAGCCUUCAAUUCUUCCUUCAAUAAUUACUGCCAGCUUCGAGGAAAUUCUUGAACGACGUGGGAGAGCAGUGAAACUGCAAAUACUCGCUAUUUGUAUCUUAAAAAUUUGACCAAAACUAUCAAUCUCAAACCUACAUGGGCCAAUGACCAUAGCAGACAAAAUCAAUCAAUCAAUCAAACCUACAUGAACCUCAGUGAAUGUCAUAGUGUAAUGCAAAUAACAAGAGCAACAAGAAUUCCAGCUAUUGAUCCAAAGACAAGAAAUGCAAGAAAACAAAAGGUUAAUCCGACAGUUCUCGGAAGAGGGUGAGGAUAUCGUGGACGUUAUCAAGGGGUCGUCGGUCAAGUCGUCAUUACGACGAAAAAGAAAAAGAGAAACGAAUGUCGACGACAAAACAUACGGGGAUGAGAAUGGUGGAUAAGACGAAGGGGGUGAUUCGAUCGCGUCCGCGAAACGACUUCGUUUGUCUCGGGCAGCGUGACGGUCUCGUUAUCGACGUCCUUUUACGCAGAACUCAUUUACUUAAUUGCUACGAUUAUGGCAGCAACGCCAACGUCGUAGAAGCCCGGAGUUUCAGCGAGUGGGCGGGUACUCGACCACCUUUUCAGGCCUACGUGAUACUCGCAGGGAAUAGUGACGGCGUACAGACGUAUACAGGGUGUCAUGGUGGUAUAGUCUUCAAGGUUGAAACCCUAUAAACUUAUGCUAUAAAACGCGGGUGCGCACGUUAUGUCGUAUAUUCCUAAGCUUGCAAAGGUAACAUUCGGGAAUGCACGAGGAGGAAUGAGGAGGAACAAGGCCGACUAGCCGGAGCCACACGCACCCCUUUUCAACGCGAUGCCGCCGUGACUGGCGAACGAAGAAUAAUCGUUUUCGUUUAAAAGAAAAAGAAUAAAAAAGGGCAGGGGGUAGGAUACGAAUCACGAUAUAGCAUUAUUCUCGCACGAAUCUUUUGUUCCGGCUCUGUGAUUGACGCGAGCCAUUUGAAAUUCUGCGUCACAGGUAAAAAAAAACAUUCUGGAAAGCAUUGAAAUGACCCUGUAGUUACCGUGCUUCGCGCUCAAGAGACAUGGUAUAAACGUGGUCGGAAAAUGGGGUGAGUUCAUUUCUCUGGACGUAGUUUAACAAUGAGUUUGGGAUAACGUACAGUGGGAUGUUUGGAUAAUAGAAGUUUGGAUAAGUGGAGUCGACUAUUUUGUUUUAUAAUUUACGAGUGCCUUGACAGCCAUUCGACAAACCUCCGAUAAAACUUCGUUAAAUUAAUUCCGCUAAGAUGAUGCUGAAGGAUUUGAUAAUAAAAGACAAAAUAAAGUCGUGUAAAAAUGAAAAUUUAUACAAAUUUAAUACCUUAUAUAUUAUACAACAGAUAAACAAAUUUGCAGAAAUAAUAAAUAGCCCAUUUUCGCGUAUAUUAAUCCGACGCGCAACAUUGAUAUCAUUGUUCCACGUCCAUUUAUCGUUUUCAUUUUCUUCGACAGAUAAUUUCGAUUCAAUAAUUUUCUGAAACGUGACAAACAUAACACCGUUCGAUUCGCCGAAUCCGAGCGUUGAUACACGUUUUGUAUAAUUGCAUGCAGCGAGCUUUGUGCUUGAAAGUUGACGAGAAAGCUUUUUCGAAUGAGCGCGACCACCGACGAAACGCAUUGCGAAAUAACCGAAUAACGAACGGCACGAUAAUUAACAAAAUACGAUGGUGCGGGGCUCAUUGUUUUGCGAAACCAUUGUCGGCGAACGCGUGAUUCGACUAGGGUCGUUUGCCAACUGAAAUAAAGAAAUAAUGAUUGCGGUUGAUUAUGGCGCCGCACGCGAGGAAAAAUUGCAAAUUGCAUGUGCAAAAGGUGAUCGAAACUGUUCCCGUUGUUCAACUUUCUCUAUGAGUUUCUGCUAAUCAACCAUCGUUAAAGACAUGAGGAUCUUGUCGUGUUCGCGAACGAUUCAAUUCUGACUUAAACAUAUAUAUAACAAAACAAUAAGAAAAAGAGUAACAAUUCUAUACAACUUUCUCGCAGACUACGUAUCAUAACCGAUUACAAUUUUACGCGAAAGAACGGCAGCAAGCUGAUUGAACUUAAAAUAAAAAUGGGAAAUGAACAAAAUAGGAUGGUAACGAGUAAUUAGAUACGCUUCGUUACAUCGCAUCUUUAUUACCACGAUCGAUCAAAUUCUCCCAGAGAA